AUACUUAGCUGGCAUGGGAGACACCAUGAUCAAGAAGGUGGUCUACCCAGGGCUUGGCUCGGCCAUUGCACUCUGGCCAUGCUGACCCCUGAGAAUUCCCCAAAUGUGGUAAUUUCAACUGCAUAAUUUAUGGUAGUUGGGCACUGUGUUCGUGCUCUCCCCUU